UACGUAGGGGGCAAGCGUUAUCCGGAUUUACUGGGUGUAAAGGGAGCGUAGACGGUAAAGCAAGUCUGAAGUGAAAUGCCAGUGCUCAACACUGGAACUGCUUUGGAAACUGUUUGGCUGGAGUGCAGGAGAGGUAAGUGGAAUUCCUAGUGUAGCGGUGAAAUGCGUAGAUAUUAGGAGGAACACCAGUGGCGAAGGCGGCUUACUGGACUGUAACUGACGUUGAGGCUCGAAAGCGUGGUGAGCAAACAGG
rnacentral:rRNA from 1 species